CCCUACGGGGCGCAGCAGUGAGGAAUAUUGGUCAAUGGGCGGGAGCCUGAACCAGCCAAGUCGCGUGAGGGAAGACGGUCCUAUGGAUUGUAAACCUCUUUAGGCGGGGAGCAAUGCCGGGCACGUGUGCCCGGAGGGAGAGUACCCGCAGAAUAAGCAUCGGCUAACUCCGUGCCAGCAGCCGCGGUAAUACGGAGGAUGCGAGCGUUAUCCGGAUUUAUUGGGUUUAAAGGGUGCGUAGGCGGUCAGGUAAGUUAGAGGUGAGAGCUCGAGGCUCAACAUCGAAACUGCCUCUGAUACUGUCG
rnacentral:rRNA from 1 species